CCUACGGGACGCAGCAGUGAGGAAUAUUGGUCAAUGGACGGAAGUCUGAACCAGCCAAGUAGCGUGCAGGAUGACGGCCCUAUGGGUUGUAAACUGCUUUUGUAUGGGGAUAAAGUUAGGGACGUGUCCCUAUUUGCAGGUACCAUACGAAUAAGGACCGACUAAUUCCGUGCCAGCAGCCGCGGUAAUACGGAAGGUCCAGGCGUUAUCCGGAUUUAUUGGGUUUAAAGGGAGCGUAGGCUGGAUAUUAAGUGUGUUGUGAAAUGUAGACGCUCAACGUCUGACUUGCAGCGCAUACUGGUUUC
rnacentral:rRNA from 1 species